GACGUAGGGCGCGAGCGUUGUCCGGAAUCAUUGGGCGUAAAGAGCGUGUAGGCGGUCCGGUAAGUCCGCUGUGAAAGUCGGGGGCUCAACCCUCGAAUGCCGGUGGAUACUGUCGGGCUAGAGUGCGGAAGAGGCGAGUGGAAUUCCUGGUGUAGCGGUGAAAUGCGCAGAUAUCAGGAGGAACACCUAUUGCGAAGGCAGCUCGCUGGGACGUAACUGACGCUGAGACGCGAAAGCGUGGGGAGCAAACAGG
rnacentral:rRNA from 1 species